rnacentral:rRNA from 1 species
GAUGAACGCUAGCUACAGGCUUAACACAUGCAAGUCGAGGGGAAACGGCAUCGAAAGCUUGCUUUUGAUGGGCGUCGACCGGCGCACGGGUGAGUAACGCGUAUCCAACCUGCCCAUCACUUGGGAAUAACCUUGCGAAAGUAAAACUAUUCCCCAUGAACAUCCCAGAAAGCCUCCGGAAGGGGUUUAACAUUUUAUCGUGGAUGGAGGGGGAUGCGUCUGAUUAGCUUGUUGGCGGGGUGACGGCCCACCAAGGCAACGAUCAGUAGGGGUUCUGAGAGGAAGGUCCCCCACAUUGGAACUGAGACACGGUCCAAACUCCUACGGGAGGCAGCAGUGAGGAAUAUUGGUCAAUGGGCGAGAGCCUGAACCAGCCAAGUAGCGUGCAGGAUGACGGCCCUAUGGGUUGUAAACUGCUUUUAUAAGGGAAUAAAGUGGGUCACGUGUGACUUUUUGCAUGUACCUUAUGAAUAAGGACCGGCUAAUUCCGUG